UACGGCCACAUGGCGUAGAAACACCAGUUUCUGUACGAUCACCGAAGUUAAGCAAAGUCGAGCCUGAUCAGUAUCUAGAUGGGCGACCGCUUGGGAAUACCAGAAGUUGUAAG